rnacentral:rRNA from 1 species
UACGUAGGGUGCUAGCGUUGUCCGGAAUCAUUGGGCGUAAAGAGCGUGUAGGCGGCUCGGUAAGUCCGCUGUGAAAGUCGGGGGCUCAACCCUCGAAUGCCGGUGGAUACUGUCGGGCUAGAGUGCGGAAGAGGCGAGUGGAAUUCCUGGUGUAGCGGUGAAAUGCGCAGAUAUCAGGAGGAACACCGAUUGCGAAGGCAGCUCGCUGGGACGUCACUGACGCUGAGGCGCGAAAGCGUGGGGAGCAAACAGG